rnacentral:rRNA from 1 species
CACGAAGUAUUAAAGGUGACGCCUGCCCAGUGAUACUUAAACGGCCGCGGGAUCCUCACCGUGCAAAGGUAGCAUAAUCACUUGUCACCUAAAUAGUGACUAGUAUGAACGGCCCCAUGAAGAUUUUACUGUCUCUUGAAACCAGCCCAUGAAACUAUUCUCUCAGUACAAAAACUGAAAUAUUAACAUAAGACGAAAAGACCCUGUGGAACUUAAAGCACCCCCCAUACACUAUGACCACCUGCUUUUAGUUGGGGCAACUUUGGAAUUAAACAAAACUUCCAACAACACCAAUAGACUCACAAGUCCACACCACCAUUUAGACCCAGUACAACUGAACAAAGAACCAAGCUACCCCAGGGAUAACAGCGCUAUCCCCUCUUAGAGCCCAAAUCGAAGAGUGGGGUUUACGACCUCGAUGUUGGAUCAGGGCCCCCAAACAGUGCAACAGCUGUUAACGGUUUGUUUGUUCAACAACUAACGCCCUACGCGAUCUGAGUUAAGACCGGAGUAAUCCAGGUCGGUUUCU